GCCACACACACACAUGUAUAAAUAAACGCAAUUUUUUAAUAAUUACAACCGGCUUUUAAACCUGUUUUCACUUGAUAUAUCUGUUGAAAUCAUUUGAUCAGCUGCUCAGGUGUGCUAAUUGGGUUCUAUGUACCGGUAAUAUGGCAACUUCUGAUUGGAAAUGACAGCUGAGGGCUGGUUUCUGUUGGCAGUGUUCACGGCAAUAUGACUAUAUAUCGAUAUUAAGACAAAAUCAACCCAAAGGCAUUUCUCCAAUGAUUGCAAAAACCAUGCAGACUGGAAUACAAAAGAUUAAUUAAGUUCUAAAAAGUAGACACUAACUAAAAAAAAAAUCAGAAACAAUGGAUAAGUUUCUAGACGCAAGCAAUAAUCUGAACUUCGAAAAAUCUGGACCGAGUUUAUUAAAUAAAUAGUUAUAUUCGUUUAAGGCCCUAAAAACAAUGGCGAAAUUAUAAUAAUGAACCGUUUGUAAGUAAGUAGAGAACAAAUGUUUAUAAGCCUCUAAACUUUAAAAGUAGAACGCAAAUGUUUAGACAAAAAAUAUUGUUUGCUUAUAAAGCGGUUAAUGUAGAAUUUUUCAUUCAUAAAAUCAUUGCUGUAGAAACAGAAAUAAAUCUUGUUGGAAAAGCGAAAAAGACGUUUUGAAUGAAUACUUAUGAAUACCGAAAUCUCUUGAAUGAGCAUAAUGUUCAGGCCAGCCAAGCACCAGCUGUGCCGAUCGAUAGAGUUUUAAUAAUAAUCGGUUUAAAUUGAAAGCUGGUGCGCGGAACAAGAUGAAUUAACCUAUCUUUUCUUUUAAAUUUAAUGUAUGUUCGCAAACCCUAAUUUAUUUUAUUUAGUUCUUAUACUAUAACUAAAAAUUUUUAAUUAAGUAUUUCAUACUUCAUUAUCAUAAAAAAAUAGGUUCCACACAUAUUGAACGGAAAAAAAUUUCGUUUAAA